rnacentral:RNase_P_RNA from 1 species
GAGUCGGUCGGGUGAUCGCGGCUGCUAGUGCGCCCUCGCAAGGGGGUUGGCCAAUCGCAGUCGAGGAAAGUCCGGACUCCAAAGAGCAAGGUGGUGGGUAACGCCCACCCGGGGUGACCCGCGGGAUAGUGCCACAGAAAACAAACCGCCUCACAAUCGUGAGGUAAGGGUGAAACGGUGGUGUAAGAGACCACCAGCGUGCCGGGUGACCGGCGCGGCUAGGUAAACCCCACCUGGAGCAAGGUCAAGAGGUCGUCCCCUCGGGGGCGGCUGCGCAGGAGAGCUGCUCGCUCGCUGAUCUGCGGGUAGACCGCAUGAGGCUGUCGGCAACGACAGUCCCAGAUGGAUGAUCGCCGCUGUCGCUGGGCAACCGGCGCAGCCACAGGAUCCGGCUUACAGACCGACUCAU